UUUUGAGUAAAUUCAAGACGAAAGAUGUUGAAAGAAGCUCCAAGACAUUCUUAUAUAGCAAGUUCUCUAAUAAUAGCUGGGUUAUCUGGGAAUUUAAUGUAUCUUCUCUCUAUUUGUGAAUGAAAUAGUAAUUAUGUAUGUGAUUUAAUGUAUCUUCUCUCUCUUUGUGAAUGAAAUAGUAAUUAUGUAUGUGAUUUGAAAAUGUGUGCAAUGGAAACAUGACUAAUGCGACCCACUUAUCAAAAUAAUUUGAGCACAUUUG
rnacentral:lncRNA from 1 species